GCUUGAUGUCUAAAGCAAUGUAUUCCGGGUUUGCAUUGACAUCAGCAUCCCACUAGCUCAACUGCUAGUUACGACCUAUCCACAAAUAAAUUUGGAGGAAUAAAGAUAUUUGCGUAGAGAUUUUGGACAUGAUAAUUCUGGAAAUUGUGGGAGGUGAAAUGGUGGAUAGGAGCAUGUAGCUUAAAGUUAGAUGUUGCCAAGAACAACAGGUAGCCUGAUGCCUAGAGCAAUGUAUUAUGGGGUUGUGUUAAUGUCAGCAUCCUACUUGCUCAAUUGUUAGGCCAUUUCCGUGUUAGCAAGAGUUUGAAUUGGUAGCCAUGUCACUGUUUAACCAGACAAGAAACUCCUAUUGCUUGUAU
rnacentral:misc_RNA from 1 species